GGAGAGGUGGCAGAGUGGUUGAAUGUGACGGUCUCGAAAACCGUUGUGCGCGCAAGUGUACCGUGGGUUCGAAUCCCACCCUCUCCGCAA
rnacentral:tRNA from 1 species